GAUGAACGCUGGCGGCGUGCCUAAUACAUGCAAGUCGAGCGAACAGACGAGGAGCUUGCUCCUCUGACGUUAGCGGCGGACGGGUGAGUAACACGUGGAUAACCUACCUAUAAGACUGGGAUAACUUCGGGAAACCGGAGCUAAUACCGGAUAAUAUAUUGAACCGCAUGGUUCAAUAGUGAAAGACGGUUUUGCUGUCACUUAUAGAUGGAUCCGCGCCGCAUUAGCUAGUUGGUAAGGUAACGGCUUACCAAGGCAACGAUGCGUAGCCGACCUGAGAGGGUGAUCGGCCACACUGGAACUGAGACACGGUCCAGACUCCUACGGGAGGCAGCAGUAGGGAAUCUUCCGCAAGGGGCGAAAGCCUGACGGAGCAACGCCGCGUGAGUGAUGAAGGUCUUCGGAUCGUAAAACUCUGUUAUUAGGGGAGAACAAAUGUGUAAGUAACUAUGCACGUCUUGACGGUACCUAAUCAGAAAGCCACGGCUAACUACGUG
rnacentral:rRNA from 1 species